AUCCAGAUGACGAGUCCCAAAUAGGACGAAAUGCAGACCCUCGUGGAU
rnacentral:hammerhead_ribozyme from 1 species